rnacentral:rRNA from 1 species
CUGCCUACGGGGGGCAGCAGUGAGGAAUAUUGGUCAAUGGGCGGAAGCCUGAACCAGCCAAGUCGCGUGAGGGAAUAAGGCCCUACGGGUCGUAAACCUCUUUUGCCGGGGAGCAAGGGCGGGGACGUGUCCCGGCCCGGAGAGUACCCGAAGAAAAAGCAUCGGCUAACUCCGUGCCAGCAGCCGCGGUAAUACGGAGGAUGCGAGCGUUAUCCGGAUUUAUUGGGUUUAAAGGGUGCGUAGGCGGAUUUGUAAGUCAGCGGUAAAAAUGCGGUGCUCAACGCCGUAUCGCCGUUGAAACUGCG